UAGGGAGUAUUGCGCAAUGGGCGAAAGCCUGACGCAGCCACGCCGCGUGGAUGAUGAAGGCCUUCGGGUCGUAAAGUCCUUUUCUGAGGGAAGAAUGGUCUGGUGAGGAAAUGCACUGGGCGUGACGGUACCUCAGGAAUAAGCCACGGCUAACUCUGUGCCAGCAGCCGCGGUAAUACAGAGGUGGCUAGCGUUGUUCGGAAUUACUGGGCGUAAAGGGAGCGCAGGCGGCCAGGUUAGUCUGAAGUGCAAGCCCGGGGCUCAACCCCGGAAUCGCUUUGGAUACUGCCAGGCUUGAGUAUGUCAGAGGUGAGCGGAAUUCCAGGUGUAGCGGUGAAAUGCGUAGAUAUCUGGAGGAACAUCCGUGGCGAAGGCGGCUCACUGGGACACAACUGACGCUGAGGCUCGAAAGCGUGGGGAGCGAACGGGAUUAGAUACCCCCGUAGUCC
rnacentral:rRNA from 1 species